AGAGGUCUCAAGCGUUGUUCGGAUUCAUUGGGCGUAAAGGGUGCGUAGGCGGCGCGGUAAGUCGGGUGUGAAAUCUCGGAGCUUAACUCCGAAACUGCAUUCGAUACUGCCGUGCUUGAGGACUGGAGAGGAGACUGGAAUUUACGGUGUAGCGGUGAAAUGCGUAGAUAUCGUAAGGAAGACCAGUGGCGAAGGCGGGUCUCUGGACAGUUCCUGACGCUGAGGCACGAAGGUCAGGGGAGCAAACGGGAUUAGAUACCCCGGUAGUCCUGACAGUAAACGGUGCACGUUUGGUGUGGGAGGAUUCGACCCCUUCUGCGCCGGAGCUAACGCUUUAAGCAUUCCGCCUGGGGAGUACGGUCGCAAGACUG
rnacentral:rRNA from 1 species